UGAGCAACCUGCCCUUGGCUUUGGGAUAACCCUCGGAAACGGGGGCUAGUACCGAAUGUUUCACUGCUGGACGCAUGUUUGGUGGUGGAAAGUUUUUCGGCUGGGGAUGGGCUCGCGGCCUAUCAGCUUGUUGGUGGGGUGAUGGCCUACCAAGGCGACGACGGGUAGCCGGCCUGAGAGGGCGACCGGCCACACUGGGACUGAGACACGGCCCAGACUCCUACGGGAGCA
rnacentral:rRNA from 1 species